rnacentral:lncRNA from 1 species
ACACCAACGAGAACUGCGCUUUAGCGGCGCUGCUGAAGGCACUGGAUGGCCAAACAACCGCGAACGCCGACAAGCCGAAGAGCCGAAGGGCCGAAAAGCCGAAGCGGACACCCGCGCGCGGUGAUUGGCCGGUUGGCCGGAAGAACUCUGUCUCUGAUUGGCAGGAGAGUCACGAACCGAGAGUAAAAAAAUCUCACUGAAGAAGAGUAGGCCUUUCGUUUAGCAACUGUGAAGAAAACCAACCACGCUGCACCUCUCAGGUAGCCUACAGAUGUGCUGUGCUUCACUUAAUUUUUGAGAGGGACGGGGGAAAAUACACACAAAGACUUGAUUGACAUAGAGGACAUUUUCAGAAAGCAAAUUCUGGUUCAUAGAGCCUUAUGUAUGUCAUGUGAACAUCACACAGUAGCGAAUGAAAAUAAUAAAGAUAUCAAGAAACUUGAAUCAUAUUUAAUGAAUCUCAUUAAGAAUGCGGGGAAACAUGCAACAGUUAAAAUUCUGUUGAAAUUGUUUAAAAUAAGUUCUAGAUUUUAAUGUUUAACCUGUAGAUACAGUAUACCUUCUUAAUUUUCCCAUGAGCUGGUGAGCUGAGGUUCCAGGG